UACGGGGGGGGCAAGCGUUGUUCGGAAUUACUGGGCGUAAAGGGCUCGUAGGUGGCCAACUAAGUCAGACGUGAAAUCCCUCGGCUUAACUGGGGAACUGCGUCUGAUACUGGAUGGCUUGGAUUCGGGAGAGGAAUGCGGAAUUCCAGGUGUAGCGGUGAAAUGCGUAGAUAUCUGGAGGAACACCGGUGGCGAAGGCGGCAUUCUGGACCGAUAUUGACGCUGAGGAGCGAAAGCCAGGGGAGCAAACGGG
rnacentral:rRNA from 1 species